rnacentral:misc_RNA from 1 species
UGGUCACUGGUCUCACCGUCUCCGACGCUUGCAAGCUAGUGCUCGAUGGAAUGUUAGCCGAUCACUUAAAAUCAUGUGCUUAGAACUCGAUUAAGUCGCACUUCGUGUUCUAAUCAAGUUCGCUGCGAGAAUGUCGAAAAGCGUACAGAGUAUGGUUACGAGUAUAGAGAACUUGUUGCCCGUAAAAAACGGAGAUAUGAGUGAGGAGCCUGCGACCGAGUCCACCCGAAAGGAUGGCAAGGAGGGCGGCAGCAAGCAUAAAAAGCGCAAGCAUCACAAGCACAAGCACAAGCACCACCACAGCUCGACAAAGGACAAGAGCAGACGAAAGUCAAGCGCCGAGCAGGCUCCCCCAGCUGGCCCGACUUCGGCACAGGCCAGCUGCCAGCCAGGCAUCCAAGUGAGCAGCAUGAACCUAGAAGAAUUGGAGGAGCAGAAGGCAAUCUUGCAGGCAAAGCUGUACACUCUGGUGCCCAGCGAUUACGGCAGCUCAGACGAAGACACCAAGAAAGUCAAGAAGUCCAAGGUCAGCUCCAAGAAAUCGCAGGAAACUAGCAGCAAGAAGCGGCCUCACUCUCCUUCGGUGAACAGCACGAAGAAGACGGACAGAGAGAACAAAAGCAGGGAGCACUCGCGAUCUGAGCACUCUCGGAGGGAGCGCGAUCAGCCUCCCUCUCCUCGAUCAAGCAGGAAGGAGAGGUCUGAACGGACCGCACGUGAUGCCUCGCCAGUGCGUCCGGGCCAGAGGAAAGAGAGCCCGUCGCGCCAUCGCAAGAGUCCAUCCAAGAGGAGCCCCCCUCGACGAAGCCCUCCACCCAGGAAAGCCUCACCCCCACGAAAGAUCUCACCUCCGCGGAAGAUCUCACCCCCGCGGAAGAGCUCCCCUCCACGGAAGAGCUCCCCUCUGAGGAGGAGCUCGCUUCCCAGGAAAGUGUCGCCUGCGAGGAGAAGCCCUCCUGCACGGCACAGGGGAGAUGCUGAGCGACGGCGGUCGGUGUCGCCUCGACGGCCCCCAGAACGGGAGCGUCACAAGAGUCCUUCACCAAGACGUCCCAUGGCUCGUCGGGGCUCUCCCCCGAGGGCCCCUAUCCGGGAGAGGAGUCCUCGUCGGGCAAUGCGAGCAAGUCCCCCGCGGCGAGGCAACCGGAGCGGGCACUCGCGCAGCCCUCGCCGCAGGGACCCCAGGGCGCCGGCCUCGGGCCUUCGGAGUCGGUCGCCCCACGCCAGCCAACGGAUGGACGAACGGGCCAGACGUAACAAAGACCGCUGGGACCGUAAAGACGACCGCGGGCGCCACGCUAACAGCUCUUCCAGGAAGAAGCCGAAAUCCCCUUCAUCAACGUCGGAAGAGCUCGAGGACAUUGAAAUUGAGGACGAGGAGGACGAAGAGAAAGUGAUUGAGCGGCAAAGGCAACAGAGGCAAGAGCUGCUGAAGAGGCUGGGUGUAGAAAAUCAAGUUGAAAGCAGUGGUUUAUCUUCACCAGCACAUUCCCCAGGCACUCCUGAUUCAGCCUCCAUUGACAACAUGGCUUCCGAUAUCAACAUUGAAAACAGCCAAGAUACGACCGACUUUGAGGCAGCCAUAAUGGCUAAGCGACAAAUGAUGGUCCAAGAAGGCAACAGCGAGGCCGACACAGGUCAAGACAAAAAGAAGCAGCCGGACAUGUUUUCCGAAGAUAUGUUUGCUGAAAACUACUCUAGUCCAAAUUCCGUGCAGAAAACCUCGUCACGCGCCCAGGAGAAUCCCAACCUCACUGACAACUGGGAUGAUGCCGAAGGCUAUUAUCGUGUGCGCAUCGGUGAAGUUCUUGACACAAGAUACACCGUCUACGGCUACACCGGACAGGGUGUGUUCAGUAACGUGAUUCGGGCAAGGGACAUGGCACGGGGAAACCAGGAUGUGGCUGUAAAAAUCAUCCGAAACAAUGAAGUCAUGCACCGCACUGGACUAAAGGAGCUAGAGAUGCUGAGACGACUGAAUGAUGCUGACCCUGAUGACAGAUUCCAUUGCCUGCGGUUAUUCAGGCACUUCUUUCAUAAGCAGCAUCUGUGCCUUGUGUUUGAGCCACUCAGCAUGAACCUUCGGGAGGUGCUGAAAAAGUAUGGUAAAGAUGUUGGGCUCCACAUCAAAGCAGUCCGCUCCUACAGCCAGCAGCUGUUUUUUGCCCUGAAGUUACUAAAGAGGUGCAACAUACUUCAUGCUGAUAUCAAACCAGACAAUAUUUUGGUGAAUGAGACCAAACUUGUUCUGAAGCUCUGCGACUUCGGUUCUGCUUCUCAUGUGGCCGACAACGACAUCACGCCAUACCUUGUGAGCAGGUUUUAUCGGGCCCCUGAAAUCAUUCUUGGCCUGGGUUACGACUUCAGCAUUGACAUGUGGAGCGUGGGCUGCACGCUUUAUGAGCUCUACACGGGAAAGAUCAUGUUUGCCGGCAAGUCAAACAACCAGAUGCUCAAAUUCUGUAUGGACUUGAAAGGGAAGUUUCCCAACCGACUCAUCCGCAAGGGCAUCUUCAGGGAGCAGCAUUUUGACAACAACUGCAACUUUCUCUACCACGAGAUUGACAAGGUUACCGAGAGAGAAAAAGUUGUUGUGAUGACAAACAUCAAUCAGAUGCGUGACCUGUCGAGCGAGUUGAUUGGGCGGCAGCGCUUGCCUGAAGAUCAAUUGAAGAAGGUGGGACAACUCAAGGAUCUUUUGGAGAAGGCACUGGCUCUUGACCCUGCCAAGAGAAUUUCGAUUAACCAGUCACUGGCGCACCCAUUCAUCCAUGACAAGAUUUGAGCGGGUACAGAGUUGGGCUGAAGUUUUUCGUGCAGCAAAAGGACGAGACCACUUCAGCUUUUGGUGAAAGCACACUCGUGGAGAUGCUCGCUGACAUGCCAUUAUGUUGAGAGUUGAAUAAGGCUAUCUCCUGCCGUCUGACAGGUGAAGCCCCAGCUGGAGGGACAACAUUAGCCUGGCAUGAUUGGUUACCGGUUGUACUAAUUGUGUUCACUCUAACUCCUGUGAACCCAAAGGCCCGAAUCAAGCCGAGAGUUUGGGCGAAUGUCUUUCCAACCUCCUGGGCCCUUUCAACACCCUCAGGUAGACACUAUAUGCUUAAGGUAACAAAGUACUGCAUGAAACAGGUUUUGUAUUCUGUUUUUGCAUUAUUGGUAACGACCAUCCUGAAGAGCAUACUUUGUACGACUGAGUGUUUUCCUGGCUGCUUUGAAGUGACAUGUUCUUAGGUGGAGGACUGCAUGUGUCUUGACAAAAUUGUGGCAGCUUAGUUGUUUCUUUUUUAAUUGAAACUAAGCUACAUAUUAUUAAAUAGUGUAAAGUUCUUCGUAUUCAUGAACCCCGAAUUUUCUAGACUCCCAAAGUGUAAGGGCAUACCAAAAUUCACACUGGUGGUGCAAAUCUAAGAGGUUUGCUAAAACUCUCAAGCUCUAGUCAUCUUCACUAUUGGAUUAUGCAAAGAAAUAAUGUUAACAGUUUGUAAAUCCAUUUGUAUACUACUGUAUAAUUAUUGGUUUUACAGAAGGUCAGUACCUAAGCCAAGCAGAUGAGGUGUUUUUACUUUUACCUUUUAAAACAAAAUACUGUCCAGAAGUGCUCAUGCUGUAAAUUUAUUUUUAUUAAUUGUCUUGUUUUAUGCAUUAUCAAGGGUGAGACAAUGUAUCGGCCCAGUGAAAAACUUGCUGGUAUUUAUACGGGUGGCAAAACAAGUAAUCUUAUUCUCUCCUGUGCUAAUUUUUUCAGCAACGACUUGGAAUGAAGAAUGUUACUGCAGUUUUUUGUUUUUUUAAUAGCUAUUUCAUAGUCCUUUUCUUUUGCUACCAUGUGUAGUUCACAGCACUCCUCUUGACAUAGUAACUCAUAAUAUUACCUUUCUUCUGACUUUAGGACAGCAUUAUGAAGGAUGCAUAAUUGGAUGGUCUUUCCUGAAGUCCCUUUUUGCCUCGAGGGGUUUUCAAUGACAUUCGAGGUGGGCGGGAGCCGUGGUUCAGGAGAACCAUCAAUGCCGAGUUACUCCCAGUGCCUCCAUCAUCCUUUGUACUGUCACUGUACAUUGUUGAGUUUGUUCAUAACAAAUUCAGACGAAGCAAACUCGGAGGUGCAACUGAUGCAAGAGCAGAUAUUUGUUUUUGUUAAUAGGUAAGAUAAAAGAACCGUUGUUUUUUUUUUUUUCUUUUUUUUUUUUCUUCCUGUUUUACACCACCCACGAAAGAAGUGUGUAGUGUACCUAAGAUUAGUUGUUUUAAGGGGAUGGUUUGUUGUGUGGGUUCUCCCAAACCAUGAUAUGAAAUCACAGUAAAUGCUGAAAAAAAAUAUAUACUCUAU